UGGAAUCCUCUGGAAUCACUCUGUAGCCUUUUUUGGACAAACUCUACAAAGGCAUUGUCUCCUCUCUCUUCAGCCUCAAAAAGAUCGAUGACAAAUGCGUCUGAAGCUAGUUUACCUGAUGUUAUGUGCUCACUGCGUUGGAGUGAUGUUGCGUUCUGACCAGCCAUGUCUUUACACUCCAUUGUGAUCGCAGCUCUCUCAUGCUGGGUGAGUGUCCAUCUAUGAACUGCACCUUUGUUUAAGGAGAAUCCAGUCAGUCCUCCUUUGGUUUUGGAGUCUCUGUUUGCUGUUUGCUCUAUGACUUGAUCACAGGCAGUGUUUGCAAACUCAUACUCCUGCUGUCUCUGAACAACAAAAUCCCCAGAUUGUACCUGUUGGUGUAUGACAGGAUGUGUGUCCUCCAGACUGUUCAUCUCCAGACAGUAUGAAGAGAGGUAUCUUGCAUAGUUGACCUUAUCAUAUGAGAAAACCCAUGGGAGCAUACAGUGGACACUGGAUAGAUGUAAAAUCCAGUUAGCCUCUCUUGUUCCCCUGAUGAACAGCAAUAGGGUUUCUGUCAUAGAGAUGUAAGAGCUCCAAAAGUGGAAUGUCUUGUUGUUUUUGUUGACUUUGAUGAAGUUCUCAUAUCCUGUCUUCAAUUUCAGGAAGGUGUCAGACCUUGCCACCAGUUCAAACUCUUCUCCAGGGAAUCUUGCUUGCAUGAUGUAUAUGAUCCUGCUGCAACAACCUCAGAUUCAAUGAGGACAUCUUGAAGGCCAGCAUCGGCAAAGCGCUUCCCAAUACAUGACAGGUCUGUUGGACUGGAAUCAAUGACAGGAAGAUAUCCCACACUGGAAGGUGGUGGAAUCAGACCUCUCUGAAGCAGGGUGUUGUAACCGGUCCAACCUGGUAGGACACUUCCAUGGAUUUGAGAUUUUCAUGAAGAAGUAAGCACAAUCUAAACCUCGUCCAGUGUCUUGUGCAUGUGUGUACUUCUCUUGGCCCAGUUCUACAUUUGAUCCAAAUGGUUGUGGGCCUGACCUUUUCCCUCUUGUGUAGGGUACAAGAUUCAGUGGAGGUGGCCUAAGAGAUCUCUUUCUUGUUCUCUGUAGAGAUACAGUGUCAGAGGUAGGCACAUCCGAGGAAAUCAUUCUUUGAAUUAUAAUUCCAUUUGUGUUGUGGGUUGUACCCUUUCCAGACAGAGUUUCUUCACCAAAGUCGUUAUUGUCCAAAACAAUUGUUGCUGGAACUUUUGCAAUUAUGUUUGGGGGGAUGUAGGUGUCACCUCUUUCUAUUUGCAUUUCAGCAAGACCUGUGCCAUGUUCCAGAA